ACGUAGGUGGCAAGCGUUGUCCGGAUUUACUGGGUGUAAAGGGCGUGUAGGCGGGAGAGCAAGUCAGAAGUGAAAUCCAUGGGCUUAACCCAUGAACUGCUUUUGAAACUGUUCUUCUUGAGUAUCGGAGAGGCAGGCGGAAUUCCUAGUGUAGCGGUGAAAUGCGUAGAUAUUAGGAGGAACACCAGUGGCGAAGGCGGCCUGCUGGACGACAACUGACGCUGAGGCGCGAAAGCGUGGGGAGCAAACAG
rnacentral:rRNA from 1 species